AUUGAACGCUGGCGGCAGGCCUAACACAUGCAAGUCGAGCGAGCGGCGGACGGGUGAGUAAUGUAUGGGGACUGCCCGAUAGAGGGGGAUAACUACUGGAAACGGUGGCUAAUACCGCAUACUGUCGGAUAACCCAUAUGGGAUUAGCUAGUAGGUAAGGUAAUGGCUGACCUCGGCGACGAUACCUCGCUGGUCUGAGAGGAUGAUCAGCCAAACGGGGAUUGAGACACGGCCCAGACUCCUACGGAGGCAGCAGGGGGGAAUAUUGCACAAGGGGCGAAAGCCUGAGGCAGCCAUGCCGGGGGUAGGAAGAAGGCCCUAGGGUUGAAAAGUACUUUCAGGCGGGAGGCGUUACCGACAGAAGAAGCACCGGCUAACUCCGUGCCAGCAGCCGCGUAAUAC
rnacentral:rRNA from 1 species